rnacentral:rRNA from 1 species
CAAGAACUACAAAGGAAGUUGACGGGGCCCGCACAAGCGAGGAGCAUGUGGUUUAAUUCGAUGAUACGCGAGGAACCUUACCUGGGCUCGAACGUAAGAUGACUGUAGGUGAAAGCUUACAUCUCUUCGGAGCAUUUUACGAGGUGCUGCAUGGUUGUCGUCAGCUCGUGCCGUGAGGUGUCGGGUUAAGUCCCAUAACGAGCGCAACCCCUACCUUUAGUUGCCAUCAGGUUAAGCUGGGGACUCUAAAGGAACUGCCUACGCAAGUAGUGAGGAAGCGGGGAUGACGUCAAAUCAGCACGGCCCUUACGUCCAGGGCUACACACGUGCUACAAUGGCCGAUACAGAGGGCAGCUACCUGGUGACAGGAUGCAAAUCUCCAAAGUCGGUCUCAGUUCGGAUCGGAGUCUGCAACCCGACUCCGUGAAGUUGGAUUCGCUAGUAAUCGCGCAUCAGCCAUGGCGCGGUGAAUACGUUCCCGGGCCUU